UUCUUCCCCAUCCUUCUUCUCUAACGGCUCACUCCUUCUCUUUCAACUUUCUCUCCCCUCUCCCAUUCUCUGUCGCUCUCGUCUUCUUCGUCUUCCUCAAAACCUUUACCCUUCCUAUCUCUCAAUUUUCACUUCACUUCAUGCAGCCAAGAAACUCUACCUUGCGAGUUAAUAGAUACCCAUCUCGUCGACCCACCGCCGAUCUUCUUCUCCUCGCCCUUACGGCACCGGGAUCAAGGGCGGCAUACCCCCUCGGAGACCCAAGUCGUCUUCCAAAGGAAAUGCUUCACCGUCAGAUCCCAACUCCAUGGUUCCCGAUUCCAAACCCUCGCCGGCUAAGUUGAAGAGCCCGCUUCCACCGUCAGAUCCCCUUCUCUCUCGCUCUCUCUCGUGUCCACCCGCUGAUGAUAUGGAUGCUCUCUUUCAAGUCCAAACCUCGGUUCCUUCAUCCAUGGCGAAGCGGCCAUGUCCAUCUCAAAACCCUAAAAUACCGACUUUUACUCAGAUGGUCCUUCUUCUCGAAGCUUUUCUUGGCCUUUCAGACUCUUCUUCCAUCUGUAUCAACUUUUCAUUCUAGAGACUUCUUGACUCCUUGCCUUCUGACUUGGAUCAGACUCUUCUCAUCGAUCGCGCUCUUAAAAUGGGCACCUACUUGCUCGAAGCUGGUAAACGUUCUGCUAGGAUACGAGCUACUAAGCAUAACUCUGUCGUUUCGGCUCUUCCUCCUGACCUCACCAUCAAAGAUUCAGAAAACGUGCAUAUUUUAGUUCAUAUUUUUGUAUGGACGUAAUCAAGCGGGUAGGUUGGGAAUCUUGAAGACAGAUAGCGUAUAGCUUAUAAUUCGUUUAUUUCAAGCUCAGGAAUCAUUGUUACAAGCUUCCACCUCUUCAGCUCAUCCUCCAGUUAUUUAUGGUUGGUCCCAUGUUGUGUUCCAACAUCAAUAACAGUUGAUUAAAAAAUGAUGGGUUUUGCUGGAGUGGAUGAUAACGAACUGUGGUUUUGCUGGAGUGGAUGAUAACGAACUGUGGAUUUUCAGGUUUUUUCCAUGCUUGACGCACAGAGCCUUUUCUUUGCAACAGCUACUUGUUCGAUGUUUCACAAGUGUGCAAUGGAUCCUUCUUGCUAUUCCAACAUUGACUUAACAACAGUUUCUCCAAGAGUUAAUAAUGCAGCAGUUUCUACAAUGAUUCACCGUGCUGGAAAACUCCCUUCAAUCUCUUAAGCUUGGUAUAGUUCCUGGCCCAACUUCAUCCCCAGGUUCUUGCCAACCGUUGGUUUACAAUGUCAGUAGCUUUUCAUGGAAUGACAAAAGAUCCAGACAAGGGAAGAAGUCAUCAGUACUCACAAGAUCAUGCUUAAGCCCUUUGGGUGGGGCCAGUACUCUUGGGUAUAGGCUUACUUUUGAAGUCUAGAUUGUGCUCAUUUUGAAAAAGGAGUUCUGUUUCUGAACUGUUAAAUUUUAUAGGAUGCUCUUAAAAAUGCUGCAUCUUUACAACAUUGAAAGACUGGAUAGUCCAUCACUUCGUGCUGCAUUAUCUGCUUGCCCAUCUCUCCUUUAUCUGGAAAUUGUGGGCCUGUAAGUUUCUUUAGUUGACCAAUUUUGUGGUUUUCUAAUAAUUUAAGCUGGAAUAUACUGUUUUUGUUUAAAAAUGUUGAUACUGGUGAACUGUAAUACAAGGACUAAGAUUUC